rnacentral:rRNA from 1 species
GACGAACGCUGGCGGCGCGCCUAACACAUGCAAGUCGAACGAGCGAGAGAGAGCUUGCUUUCUUGAGCGAGUGGCGCACGGGUGAGUAACGCGUGAGGAACCUGCCUCUAAGAGGGGGACAACAGUUGGAAACGACUGCUAAUACCGCAUAAGCCCACGACCCCGCAUCGGGUUGAGGGAAAAGGAGCAAUCCGCUUUGAGAUGGCCGCGCGUCCGAUUAGCUAGUUGGUGAGGUAACGGUCCACCAAGGCGACGAUCGGUAGCCGGACUGAGAGGUUGAGCGGCCACAUUGGGACUGAGACACGGCCCAGACUCCUACGGGAGGCAGCAGUGGGGAAUAUUGCACAAUGGGGGAAGCCCUGAUGCAGCGACGCCGCGUGGAGGAAGAAGGUCUUCGGAUUGUAAACUCCUGUUGUUGAGGAAGAUAAUGACGGUACUCAACAAGGAAGUGACGGCUAACUACGUG